GAAUUCGGCUUAGAGUUUGAUCCUGGCUCAGGAUGAACGCUAGCGGCAGGCUUAACACAUGCAAGUCGAGGGGUAUAGUUCUUCGGAGCUAGAGACCGGCGCACGGGUGCGUAACGCGUAUGCAAUCUACCUUUUACAGAGGGAUAGCCCAGAGAAAUUUGGAUUAAUACCUCAUAGUAUAAUGACUCGGCAUCGAGAUAUUAUUAAAGUCACAACGGUAAAAGAUGAGCAUGCGUCCCAUUAGCUAGUUGGUAAGGUAACGGCUUACCAAGGCUACGAUGGGUAGGGGUCCUGAGAGGGAGAUCCCCCACACUGGUACUGAGACACGGACCAGACUCCUACGGGAGGCAGCAGUGAGGAAUAUUGGACAAUGGGCGCAGGCCUGAUCCAGCCAUGCCGCGUGCAGGAUGACGGUCCUAUGGAUUGUAAACUGCUUUUAUACGAGAAGAAACACUCCGACGUGUCGGAGCUUGACGGUAUCGUAAGAAUAAGGAUCGGCUAACUCCGUGCCAGCAGCCGCGGUAAUACGGAGGAUCCAAGCGUUAUCCGGAAUCAU
rnacentral:rRNA from 1 species